AUUUUCACUGAACUAGCAACUUUUUUGUUUAGGGGCCAGCUGAAGCCCGCCUCCGGGUGCAGGAAUUUCUCGCCGCUGUGUUGAUGACUCAUUGGUGGCCUUGGCCCGUUUUCUGCUCUUUAGUCGGGUUGUUGUCUCUUUGACACAUUCCCCAUUUCCAUUUUGAAUUUUAUCAUUAUGUAAAAAAAAAAAAAACACACAAAAAACAGCACGAAAGAAAGGAGUUUCACAACUUAAUAGCUUAUAGAGUAUAGUAUAUCAUAAAAUGAUUUCAAACAAGAGGACAAUUCAAUUAAAACUGUCUUGCAUUUUGCACGACAGAUCGCAUAUCUCUCCUUUCACAAUGGAUAAUAAUUGCAACUACCC
rnacentral:lncRNA from 1 species